rnacentral:tRNA from 5 species
GGGCAGUUAGCUCAGUGGUAGAGCACUGCCUUCACACGGCAGGGGUCACAAGUUCGAACCUUGUACUGCCCACCA